rnacentral:rRNA from 1 species
AAUAUUGCACAAUGGGCGCAAGCCUGAUGCAGCGACGCCGCGUGGGGGAUGACGGCCUUCGGGUUGUAAACCUCUUUCACCAGGGACGAAGCGCAAGUGACGGUACCUGGAGAAGAAGCACCGGCCAACUACGUGCCAGCAGCCGCGGUAAUACGUAGGGUGCGAGCGUUGUCCGGAAUUACUGGGCGUAAAGGGCUUGUAGGUGGUUUGUCGCGUUGUUCGUGAAAACCGGAGGCUUAACCUUCGGCGUGCGGGCGAUACGGGCAGACUGGAGUACUGCAGGGGAGACUGGAAUUCCUGGUGUAGCGGUGGAAUGCGCAGAUAUCAGGAGGAACACCGGUGGCGAAGGCGGGUCUCUGGGCAGUAACUGACGCUGAGGAGCGAAAGCGUGGGGAGCGAACAGGAUUAGAUACCCUGGUAGUCCACGCCGUAAACGGUGGGUACUAGGUGUGGGUUUCCUUCCUUGGGAUCCGUGCCGUAGCUAACGCAUUAAGUACCCCGCCUGGGGAGUACGGCCGCAAGGCUA